rnacentral:rRNA from 1 species
AUUACCGCGGCUGCUGGCACGGAGUUAGCCGGAGCUUAUUCUCCAGGUACUGUCAUUAUCAUCCCUGGUAAAAGAGCUUUACAACCCUAAGGCCUUCAUCACUCACGCGGCAUUGCUGGAUCAGGGUUCCCCCCAUUGUCCAAUAUUCCCCACUGCUGCCUCCCGUAGGAG